AUUGAACGCUGGCGGCAGGCCUAACACAUGCAAGUCGAGCGGAGCGGCGGACGGGUGAGUAAUGCCUAGGAAUCUGCCUGGUAGUGGGGGAUAACGUCCGGAAACGGGAGCUAAUACAGCAUACUAUCAGAUGAGACUAGGUCGGAUUAGCAAGGUGGUGGGGUAAAGGCCUACCAAGGCGACGAUCCGUAACUGGUCUGAGAGGAUGAUCAGUCACACGGGAACUGAGACACGGUCCAGAUUCCUACGGGAGGCAGCAGUGGGGAAUAUUGGACAAUGGGCGAAAGCCUGAUCCAGCCAUGCCGCGUGUGUGAAGAAGGUCGUCGGAUUGUAAAGCACUUUAAGUUGGGAGGCGUUACCAACAGAAUAAGCACCGGCUAACUUCGUGCCAGCAGCCGCGGUAAUAC
rnacentral:rRNA from 1 species